CCUACGGGAGGCAGCAGUGAGGAAUAUUGGUCAAUGGGCGCGAGCCUGAACCAGCCAAGUAGCGUGCAGGACGACUGCCCUAUCGGUUGUAAACUGCUUUUAUCAGGGAAUAAAGUGAGGCACGCGUGCCUUUUUGUAUGUACCUGAUGAAUAAGGACCGGCUAAUUCCGUGCCAGCAGCCGCGGUAAU
rnacentral:rRNA from 1 species